rnacentral:rRNA from 1 species
GACGAACGCUGGCGGCGUGCUUAACACAUGCAAGGCGAACGGAAAGGCCCUGCUUUUGUGGGGUGCUCGAGUGGCGAACGGGUGAGUAACACGUGAGUAACCUGCCCUUGACUUUGGGAUAACUCCAGGAAACUGGGGCUAAUACCGGAUAGGAGCACCUGCUGCAAGGUGGGGGUUGGAAAGUUUCGGCGGGUGGGGAUGGACUCGCGGCUUAUCAGCUUGAUGGUGGGGUAGUGACUUAACAAGGCUUUGACGGAUCGCCGGCCUGAGAGGGUGACCGGCCCCAAUGGAACUCGGAUGUGGCCCACAGUCCUACGGCCGACAGCAGACGGGAAUAUUUCACAAUGGGCGGAACCCUGCUGCAGCAACGCCGCGUGCGGGAUGACGGCCUUCGGGUUGUAAACCGCUUUCGCCUGUGACGCAGCGUGAGUGACGUUAAUGAGUAUAGAAGCACCGGCUAACUCCGUG